rnacentral:lncRNA from 1 species
UGGUCAAGCAGGAAAAGCCCCAGAGACUGGAGUCAGGCAGGGUCAGCACCAGUGCUGACAACCACCCCAGGCUCUAUGGAGAUCUACAGUCUAGAGAGUGAGUGGAAAGAAACCAAGUAGGAGGUCGAAGCUUGAAGAGUCAUAAAGAAACUGACAGGAAGGGACAACAGGGCAGAGUGAUCAUAAAAACUGGCAGCAACAGUAGGUGGGAACCAGCUUAACCUCCUUCCUUUUCUUUUCUAAACUUGACACCCACACACACAAACACGUACUGUGCCUGAGACUUCCAAAGGGAAUAUAGGAAGAGGACAACAAUAAUAGCAAUAACCAAUUGCAUGUACUGAAUAUUUAAUAUUAUCUCAUUAACUCCUCACAACAACCAUAUAAGGUUGAUACUACAAUGAGGCUCAUUUUUUAAAUAAAUAAUGUGCAGAGAGGUUAGGAAGCUGACUGAAGAUAAAGCUGCCCACUGGGUAAGUGGAGGCUCAGAACAUUAAGAAGUAGGGGUUUGCUCUAAAUAUUUUCUCAUUCUUUUACAUAUAGAAAACAGCAAUGAAAAAGGGAAUAAUCAGGGUUUUUCCACUGCAUGAGCCCAGUUAAAAACUGUGUGUGUUUGUGCAUAUGUGAACAUAUAUAUGAGAAAAUAAAGGAGGAGAGAAUGGAGAAUGGAUUGUAAUUAUGUCAUUAUCAUUGGGGGGAAAAGUGAGAAUAUCAUUUUCUUUGAUCUUCUAGCCAUCCAUCUUCAGGAUUACAAAAAUAUGCUGUAGAUGUUAACAGAUAUCUGUGUUUGAGGAAACGUACACAUGCACACAUUUCUGAGGAUUUCCCAUAACAUUGAUAAACAGCUACUGAAUUUAUGUGAUUUGUUAGUUUCAAACAUGAAUUACUCCAGUUGUGGCACAAAACCCCUGGUUGGACUGCAACAGCUAAUGAGCAUCCCACAUUCUUACCACACCUGGUGACCCUCUGAGGCGUCUUUGGCUGUGAUGCCAGUACAUCCUCCCAAGGACAGCCCUCCUGCUGAGAGCCUCACUAUCCUUGCCCAUGGAACUAAGGAACUGGCACUUUCCCAGGACCCUGCAAUUACUACCCACACGUGAGAGUUACCUGGAGAUCUUGAGGCUAGCGUGAUUUCUCAGUGAGCCUUUCACAUUUCCACAGGUCACCACAGGACCAGCUCACUCACCCCUUGAAGCUGACUGAAGUUUCUUUCUUUGAGGCUGCCUGGGUUUUGCCUUUGAAGUUUAAACCUGGGAGCAGUUAUCUGCCAGCCGAGAUAAGCACUCCCAGGGCUUCCAUGGGCAGCCGGUCCUAACAAAGAAGGGAUAAGACCUCUGAGUGUGCUUUGCCAUCUACCAAGUCGCAGCAGAAAAGAGAGUAAUCAGGGUCCUUUCCACGGGGUGCUCUAAGAGUGAAUCCAAUCAAAUUAAAGGAAAGUCAAAGAGAAAAGAUAAAAUAGCUUCAAAAGAGAACCCGACCUGUAGACUGCCUGUCAAUCAGCAGGAGCCACAAGCCAAUCAGAGGUGAAAUGAAAAAGCGUUUGAAAGAAAAUGCAUUGGAAUCAGUCGCAUUCCACCAGAGUAGGAAAAAGAAAAUGGCAACCUGUACUAGGUACAGUAAAGUUGAUAAUCAAUCUAUACAUCUAAGUGUGUUAAUGGAGAUUAUACACAUCCAUCUGAAUUGACAGGAUUUCUCUCUGUAUAGUCAUGAUAUUGGCAUCCUCAACAGCUGCUGUCCAUGAGCUCACAAAGCUAGUAUAACCAAGAGAAUGAACAAAACUCUUAAGCAAUAAGUACACUAUCUAAUUUGGCAGACAAAUUUAAUUUAAGAUCUGUGAUUUUUUUUUCCCUUGCUAGUGUUGAGUGUGCUGUCCAAUUUAAGAAGAUAACCAAAUUCUGGAAGAUUCCUACUGUGGCUCAGCAGGUUAUGAAACCAGCUAGUAUAUAUGAGGAUGUGGGUUCAAUCCCUGGCCUUGCUCAGUGGGUUAAGGAACCAGCAUUGCUAUGAGCUGCAGUGUAGGUCUCAGAUGUGGCUCGGAUCCUGCAUUACUGUGGCAUAGUCCUGCAGUAGCAGAUUCAAUUCAGCCCCUAUCCUGGGAACUUCCACAUGUUGCAGGUGUGGCCCUAAAAAGCAAAAAGAAUAAUAAUGAUAAUAGGUGGAGCAAGAUGGCAAAGGAGUAAGAGGUCAUGCUUACCUUCUCCCAGAAAUACAUCAAAAAAACACAUCUACAUGGCAAACGACUCACACAGAACAUCAACUGAAUGCUGGCAGAAGAACUUAAAUCUCCAAAAAGAUAAUAAACCCUUGAAAUAGCUGGGUAGAACAAAAGAAAAAAAGAGAGAGAGAGAAAAGACUCAGGACAGGACUAGCAUUCCUGAAAGGGAACUGUGAAGGAGAAAAGGAACCCACAUCCUGAGAAGCCACCUAACUGAUGGAAAGAUCAGCUGAAUGGGAAGGACCUCAAAGUUGCUGAGAAAAGCCUAGCGGCUAAACUGAGAAUGACAAAGAAGAUUGAGAGCCGGACAGAUCAUCUGAACCACUGGCCUGGAAACCAUAGCCUGAGAAGCUAGGGUGGGGACUGGGCACUGAGACUUAGGCUCCAGAGGUCAGUCCCCAGGAGAGCACUGGUUUUGGCAGUGUGGAGACAGUCUAAGGGACUAAGAUGCAGUGUGCCAUGGGCAGGGGAGCUGUACAUCACAGGCUGGGGAGCCAAACGCCAUGGCAGAGGGAACCCUGGAGAAGGUCUGGACCUGCAGGAGAGGCAAGCAUCAUUGUUGGAGAGGAAGAGAGGAGGAGGGGCAGACCGCCACAGGAAACUCCCUGUGCAUGAGCGUGCACAUGUGCCUGCAGGUUUCCAGAGGGUGGGGCAGCUCUGGCGCAGGCCACUAGUGGCGAGAAGCCAAUUGCUACUCUACAGGGGACUGGUGCAGUCUGCUGCAUGGGGCAAGAAACCACGUGCUAGUCUACAGGGGACCCAGCAUUUCUGGUGCAUGGUAUGUGGGGAAAGAAGCCUCUUGCUCAUUUAGGGGAGAUUAGGUGUUUCUUGUGCAGGCUACUGGUGGCAAGGCAUCUCUUGGCAAGAGCAUCAGGGGGCUAAGUGCUAUGUGGUGCCUACCAAGCACCACAUGCUGUCACUCUCGCUCCCCUGGGAACACACCUACCUUGUAGCUGCCACAGCCAAAUGCACUGGGUGGCAUCCAGAUUCUUGGUAACUGUCCCCUUCCAAGACCCUACAACUAGGAGCAGCUGAUACAGCACUUCCUGCCUGGGCUAAGUGGGAUAGGGUGCUUCUUGUGUGGUCUGCAGGUGGCGGGGGCAAACCCCCACAGUUACCCCUGACUCCAGAGGUGGGCAUGGCCCACCGCCACUGGGGAUACCUGAACAAAACACACUUGCAGCCCCAACAAUGCCAGAGGGCACCACACAGAAGGACAUUGUGACGGAACACAACCUCUUGUUGCUCUUGCUCCCUUGGGAGCACACCCAUCCUGCUGCUAUCACUGACAAACACUCUGGGCAGUUCUCAGAUGCUUGAUCACUGUCUCUUCCCAGGAACCUGCAGCUAGGAGCAACUUGUGCAGAAUACCCUGAGGGGACUAAGCAGGAUGAGGUGCUUCUUGCUGUCUACAGGAGGCGGGGGCAAACCACCACAGUUAUCUCUGGCUCCAGAGGUGGGAAUGGACCGCCACCACUAGAGAUCCAUGAACAGGGCACCACUUGCAGCCCCAAUCACCUCAAAGGCACCACAGAGAAGGGCAUUGUAUCUGAACACCACCUGUUGGUGCUCUUGUACCCCUCAGAACACACCAGCCCUGCUGCUGCCACUGCUGAAUGCUCUGGGUAGUACCCCCAUGCCUUAUCUCUGUCCCUUCCCAUGAUCCAGCAACUAGGAACAGCCUGUACAGCACCUCCUAUGUGGGCUAAAUGAGACAGGUUGCUUCAGGCAGGGACUACAGGUGGCGGAGGCAAACCACCAUAGUUAUCACUGACUCCAGAGAUGGACAUGGUCCACUAACACUAGGGAGUCUCUGGAGAGGAACCACAUGCAGUUCCAGUCACCUCAGAGGAGGGCAAUGCAAUCAAACACUAGCUGUUGAUGCUCUCAUUCCCCUGGGAACAAACAUACCCUGCUGCUACUACUGGGCAAUGCUCUGGUCUCCUUGUAGAACUGCCUAGAGCUUAUUACCACUUCCCAGGGUCCUGCAACAAGGAGUAGCCUGUGCCACAUUCCUGCAUGUCCUUGCUGCUGUUGAGAGCCCAGUGGUCAGGCACUGUCUGCUGUCCCUACCCAUUGCCUACUUCUCACUGAAAACACACUGAGCAUCCUGGGGAUAACAGCCUGCUUACACUGAAGAAAGAGACAGCAAAUAUUCAAAAUCCCACACCAAAAAUAAAUAUUAAAGGAACAGGAGAAUUCACCUAAAGCAGUUAACAAUGAAACAGACCUCUGCAGUCCAAAAGACAUUGGGUUCAAAAGAGAGAUAGUGAAAAUACUGAAGGAAUUAAGGCUGAAUAUCAAGGAAUUAAGAGAGGAUAUGAAGAGUAAUGCAGAUUCCCUUAGAAAGUAACUAGAAAAUAUGAGGAGCCAAGAAAAACUAGAAAAUUCAUUUGCAGAGAUGAAAACAGAGCUAAAGGCAAUAGAGAGCAUAAUGAAUAAUGCAGAGGAAUGAAUUCGUGACAUAGAAGAUAGAAUAAUGGAAAUUACCCAAUCAGGACAGCAGACUGAAAACCAAAUGAAAAAAGACGUAAACAAUAUAAUAAAUCUAUGGGAUAAUACAAAGUAGGCCAAUCUAUGCAUAAUAGGAAUUCCAGAAGGAUACUAAAUAGAAAAGGGGAUUGAAAAUAUAUUUGAAGAAAUUAUGUCUGAAAACUUUCCAAAUCUAAAGGAAACGGAUAUCAAGACACAGGAAGCACAGAGGGCCCCAAACCAGUUGAACCCAAACAGGCCCAUACCAUACAUAUUAUAAUAGACAUGGCAAAAGUUAAACAGAGGAUCCAAAAGGCAGCAAGAGAAAAGCAAAGCAGUAAUUAUAAGGGAAUUGCACAUAAGGCUAUCAGCUGAUUUCUAUACAGAAACACAGCAGGCCAGAAGGGAAUGGCCAAAUAUAUUUAAAGUGCUGAAAGGAAGAAAUUUGCAACCUAGAAUACUCUAUCAGCAAGAAUAUCAUUUAAAAUAGAAGGAGAAAUAAAGAAUUUCUCCAACAAACAAAAGAGUACAGCAAUAUUAGACCCAUUCUAAAUAAAAAAAA